CAAGGCAACGCCAAAGACGCUUCUGUAACCGUCCAGAUACCUUGCAGAAGUAACUACAACUUGCAACAAUAACAACCUAGCUGGAAACACAGACACAGUUCUCCCAAACGCCUGCAGAACUUUAACAAAACAAAAAAAUGCAGUACAUUUCAAGGGCAUCAGUGAGUACAAGAAGAAAUUUAAAGACCGGGUAGCGCGCUCCAGAAGCGCCUCUCCUCAGCGACGGAUGCGCUUAGCUGGACUUCGAUCUGACCAGAUGGGUAUCAGUAGAGAG